rnacentral:rRNA from 1 species
CCCUGCCAUUUGUACACACCGCCCGUCGCUACUACCGAUUGAAUGGCUUAGUGAGGCCUUUGGAUCGACCAUCUGGCGCAAGCUUGAUGGUGUGAAAAAUUGGACAAACUUGGUCAUUUAGAGGAAGU